rnacentral:rRNA from 1 species
ACGCUGGCGGUAUGCUUAACACAUGCAAGUCGAACGGAAACGAUACUAGCUUGCUAGUAGGCGUCGAGUGGCGGACGGGUGAGUAACGCGUAGGAAUCUGCCUGAUAGUGGGGGAUAGCCCGAAGAAAUUCGGAUUAAUACCGCAUAAUCUAUUCGUAGUAAAGUGGGGGACUUUCGAGCCUCACGCUAUCAGAUGAGCCUGCGUAAGAUUAGCUUGUUGGUAGGGUAAAAGCCUACCAAGGCGACGAUCUUUAGCUGGUCUGAGAGGAUGAUCAGCCACAUCGGGACUGAGACACGGCCCGAACUCCUACGGGAGGCAGCAGUGGGGAAUAUUGGACAAUGGGGGCAACCCUGAUCCAGCAAUACCGCGUGUGUGAAGAAGGCCUGAGGGUUGUAAAGCACUUUCAAUUGUGAAGAAAAGUUAGCGGUUAAUAACCGUUAGCCUUGACGUUACCUGAAGAAUAAGG